GGCUGUGACACAAGCCACAGUCAAGGGUGCCCUGGCCCUUGUUUCUCAGUCGUGGAUGGGAGGACUGACUUUGGAGCCAGGCAGCCAUGGGCUGGUGCUGAGUUGAAACUCCGGGGCUUUCCAGUUCACCGCAGUCUCCACCACUCCCUGCUGCCUCCCACCCGGCUGCCUUCAAUCAUCUGUGUGUCUUGCCUGGGCACUGAAGUCACUGGAGUUUGUAGCCCCUGAACUCAGGUCUGGGCACAGCAGAGAGACUCAGGGAACAUUUGAGAUGGGGAAACUGAGGCCGGGGAGCGAUGCACUCACUGGUUCAAAGUCUCCUGCUCAGUUCGUGGCAGUGCUGGCAUUCAGAUCCAUGAGGCUGAAGUGUCAAGAAGUCAGGAGCUCCGUGCGCCACAACUACUGAAGCCCGCGCGCCUAGAGCCUGUGCUCCGCAACAAGAGAAGCCACCACGACGAGAAGCCCACGCACCGCAACGAAGAGUAGCCCCCGCUCGCCGCAGCUAGAGAAAGCCCGCAUGCAGCGAAGAAGACCCAAU